CCUUGUUCUGCUUGGGGGGCUUUAAGGAAGCAAAUGGACUUUCAGAACAGAGAUUGUCAAUAAAGAAAUUCACAGUGCAUGUCUUCUGGGAUGCAGUAGGUAGAGUGUGAAGAGCUCCAACCCCGGAAUAUGAGAUCUGAAGUCAAACUGUGGAUCCUUGGGCGUAUAAGUGCAAUAUGCCUCCAUGAUUUUUCCAAUCAUUAACGGAGGAAUGGGUGCAAAAAAUACCCAUCCUGAGCUUUGGAUGUGUCCUCUGAGGAGGUACCCAUGACACAGACCACACUGGACGCCAACUCUGAUAUUGGGGAGAGGUCCCACGACAGUUGAGUGUGAACACGUGAUCACCCAGUUCCCUGACGCAGAGCUGCGAAUGUCUCCCCUUGAGCUGAGGGAGGCUGGUGCUGCCUUGAAGCAUGCCAUGCCAAUUCACAGCAAGGUCUUUACUGUUGCAACUCUUGCAUAAUGACAUCUUUAUUCAUGUGAAAAUACAGGGUGAAUUUCAACUAUAUGAUAUUGUUUAUGUUCAUCAGAGAUGUUAUUUGUCUUUACAAAGUCUGGUUUCAAUGAACCGGCUAUGUAAUGGAUAUUAAAUAAACAUGGAAUUUUACACAUUCA